rnacentral:misc_RNA from 1 species
GGAAGGAUCAUUAACGAGAGAUGUGUGGGGUGUGGUGCUGUAAGGUGAUGUUGUAGAGUGAUGGAAUGAUGGGUUUAAUCACCCAACUCCAUCUCCAUCUCCAACUCAUCCUAUACGCUCGCCUCAACAAACGCAAGGCAUUUGCCUUGUUUCACGCUUGUCUUUGUUUGUCAAACUAACUACUUUACUUUUAUGAAUGAUAACUUUUAACAAUGGAUCUCUUGGCUCUUGCAACGAUGAAGAACGCAGUAAAGUGCGAAAUGUAAUGCGAUUUGCAUGAAUCUGUGAGUCAUUUAAUCUUUGAACGCAACUUGCACCCAUUCGUGGGUAUGUUUGUUUGAGACGGCAAAACCGUGGAUCUGACCGGAUUGGCCAUGACUUUGUCUUGGCUCAAAAGCAGCAUGCUACAACGGAAUUUGCUAGAGCUAGAGACUUAAGUCUUUUCUAUGCAAAUCGAACGCAAUAUAUAUAUCCGUCUCAAAUCAAGCAAGAUUACCCGCUGAACUUAAGCAUAUCAGUAAGCGGAGGAAAAGAAACUAACAAGGAUUCCCUCAGUAACGGCGAGUGAAGCGGGAAUAGCUCAAAAUUGAAAUCUCAAUGGCAACAUUGCGAAUUGUAGUCUAAAGAAGUGUUAUGUGGCUGAAUGGGAUGAUCAAGUCCUUUGGAACAGGGCACCACAGAGGGUGACAGUCCCGUGGAUCAAACCUAACAUCCAUCGCACUCUCCAAGAGUCGAGUUGUUUGGGAAUGCAGCUCAAAGCGGGUGGUAAAUCUCAUCCAAGGCUAAAUAUUGGCAAGAGACCGAUAGCGAACAAGUACCGUGAGGGAAAGAUGAAAAGCACCUUGAAAAGGGAGUUAAAAAGUACGUGAAAUUGUUAAAAGGGAAACGAUAGAGACCAGAGCAGGGCAAGCGGUAUGGGUUAUUGUGUAUAGCUGUGAUCUGCAACCGCUUGUCCGAGUCAUUACUUGUUAUGAUUGUUCAAUAGAUCACUGGAGAAGGUGGAGUAGCACAAAAUGUUGCUCUUUAUAGACCUGGUUGAUUAGGAUGAUUGUGACAUGUCCAUUGAGGAGGAGGUUGAGUUGUAUUCAAAUCGAACCCAACCCAUCCCCCACCUCAUUCUACUGACGAAUUGGUCUUUAACGACCCGUCUUGAAACACGGACCAAGGAGUCUAACAAUACUGCAAGUAUUAGAGUGAUAAACUCAUAUGCGCAACGAACGUGACUCUCCACCAACCCAACCGUUGUGUUGUGUGCAGUGGGGGCCGGUUGUCGAAUUAUUGCUUCAAUCGAGUUUGAGCAUUAUUGUUGGGACCCGAAAGGCGGUGAACUAUGCCUGACUAGGGCGAAGCCAGAGGAAACUCUGGUGGAGGCUCGUAGCCGUUCUGACGUGCAAAUCGAUGGUAAAAGUUGGGUAUAGGGGCGAAAGACUAAUCGAACCGCCUAGUAGCUGGUUCCCUC